UUCAGAAGUUUGGGUGGACUGCCAGGUC
rnacentral:sRNA from 1 species